rnacentral:rRNA from 1 species
GACGAACGCUGGCGGCGUGCCUAAUACAUGCAAGUCGAACGCUUCUUUUUCCACCGGAGCUUGCUCCACCGGAAAAAGAGGAGUGGCGAACGGGGGAGUAACACGUGGGUAACCUGCCCAUCAGAAGGGGAUAACACGUGGAAACAGGUGCUAAUACCGUAUAACAAUCGAAACCGCAUGGUUCUGAUUUGAAAGGCGCUUUCGGGUGUCGCUGCUGGAUGGACCCGCGGUGCAUUAGCUAGUUGGUGAGGUAACGGCUCACCAAGGCCACGAUGCAUAGCCGACCUGAGAGGGUGAUCGGCCACAUUGGGACUGAGACACGGCCCAAACUCCUACGGGAGGCAGCAGUAGGGAAUCGUCGGCAAUGGACGAAAGUCUGACCGAGCAACGCCGCGUGAGUGAAGAAGGUUUUCGGAUCGUAAAACUCUGUUGUUAGAGAAGAACAAGGAUGAGAGUAACUGUUCAUCCCUUGACGGUAUCUAACCAGAAAGCCACGGCUAACUACGUGCCAGCAGCCGCGGUAA